rnacentral:lncRNA from 10 species
UUGGUCAUACAAACCAAUCCAGACACACAGGGACUAACAAGGAUAUGAACACCAGCAGAUGAAGAUCAUCAGUACCAUCUUGGAGGCUGGCUACCACAACGCAACCCAGUGAUUCCAUGGAAAGCAGAAAGAAGGACAUAAAGAAACGGAUACUUGGUGACAUCUUUGACUCACUGGAUCAAACCUUGCCUGAAGCUCACAUUUCUGAAAUUUCCAGAUACAAGAACAAAUACUUCCUCUUUAUUGUUUUACUAGAUUUGAGACAAGCUUUAAGUUUCUCAGACUCUUCCUCUUCCUAACAGAUUUAUCAGAAGCUGAAAGCUCUGAUCUUGUUGGGAUGCGGAUCGUGUCAGGAGAAGGCUUACUUUGCACGCUUUUCUUAGUCUGGUUGCCUAACUCAA